rnacentral:rRNA from 1 species
CCUACGGGCGGCUGCAGUGGGGAAUAUUGGACAAUGGGGGGAACCCUGAUCCAGCCAUGCCGCGUGUGUGAAGAAGGCCCUCGGGUUGUAAAGCACUUUCAGUGAGGAAGAACGCCUGGUGGUUAAUACCCAUCAGGAAAGACAUCACUCACAGAAGAAGCACCGGCUAACUCCGUGCCAACAGCCGCGGUAAUACGGAGGGUGCGAGCGUUAAUCGGAAUUACUGGGCGUAAAGCGCGCGUAGGUGGCUUGAUAAGCCGGUUGUGAAAGCCCCGGGCUCAACCUGGGAACGGCAUCCGGAACUGUCAAGCUAGAGUGCAGGAGAGGAAGGUAGAAUUCCCGGUGUAGCGGUGAAAUGCGUAGAGAUCGGGAGGAAUACCAGUGGCGAAGGCGGCCUUCUGGACUGACACUGACACUGAGGUGCGAAAGCGUGGGUAGCAAACAGGAUUAGAUACCCCAGUAGUC